rnacentral:rRNA from 1 species
GGAAGUAAAAGUCGUAACAAGGUCUCCGUUGGUGAACCAGCGGAGGGAUCAUUAAAGAGUUGCAAAACUCCCUUCACAACCCUCGUGGACGAACACCCCGACACCCGUUCCCUUCGGCGGGAAAGGGCGACCCCCUCAAGGGGGGGUCGCCCGGCCGCCGGGGGGCCGCGGGCCCCACGCUCUUGUAUUUUCGCCGGCAUCUCUGAGUACGAUUUAUGCAAAUAAGUCAAAACUUUCAACAACGGAUCUCUUGGUUCUGGCAUCGAUGAAGAACGCAGCGAAAUGCGAUAAGUAAUGUGAAUUGCAGAAUUCAGUGAAUCAUCGAAUCUUUGAACGCACAUUGCGCCCCCCAGUAUUCUGGCGGGCAUGCCUGUUCGAGCGUCAUUUCGACCAUCAAGCCCUGCUUGCGUUGGGGUCCUGCGGCCGCCCGCAGGCCCUGAAAACCAGUGGCGGGCUCGCUAGUCACACCGAGCGCAGUAGCACAUCUCGCUCAGGGCGUGCGGCGGGUUCCAGCCGUGAAAAGACCCCCUUUUGACGUUGACCUCGGAUCGGGUAGGAAUACCCGCUGAACUUAAGCAUAUC